GAUGCGGCUGAGUUCCUCGGCGAAGGAGCAGGGCCCUGCUGGUACUCCAUUGUUGCUCUGCCUCAGAAGCACAUAGCUAUUGCCAUUCAUCCUUCGCAGCCGGCUGGGCAGUGCCACCAGGCCAUUGGACACUGGCCUGAGACUGUCUGCAGUUGCACGGCAGAUCCUCCUGCCCGGCUGGCCCGACCCAAUACCAGUUCAGUCAUCUGAUCUUCCUUGGGGAAAUACCCAUUACCGUCCUGAACCCUUGUCAUCCACUACUUGGCUAUAAGCUCCAGAAGUGACAAGACACUUCACAUCUUGAAUAUGUUUCCUAGUUUAUAAUUCAUUUGGGCAGUAAAUGUUUGUUGAGCACUUA